CUGUAUUCUUUUCUCUCAUCCGAUGAAUCGAUGAACCCUGGUGAAACCAUUUGUCGAGAAACCAUUAUGAAAUCUCUUCAAUCUGUUCAAUAAUCUUCAAUCAUCGAUCUAUAGAGAGCAACUGCUGCGUUCUGUAUGUGAAUCGGUGGUUUCAUCAUCAUCUUCUUCUUAAAAACCAAUCAGCAUCAUAUCUGACCGAUUGACAGCUGCAAACCUAAAAAGUGUCGCCAAGAAUGCAAAAAGAGUUGCCCCGUUGCCAAGACUGAAAUGCCCAUUUUAAGCCAUUCAGAUUAUCAACCUGUAUAAAGAUUUGGAUAAGGAUACAACACAUCGUUGCAGUCCUACCACUUUCAAGUUGCACAGGUAUCACAACGUUGAUUGGAGGUGGGACUGGUCCUGCUGAUGGAACUCGUGCAACUACAUGUACUCCUGGACCAGUACACUGAACACUGAAGGUGCAGGCGGUGGUCAUGCUCCAAAUAUCAUCGAAGUAUCUGGUGUAAUAAAUGUCUUGCCUUCAUCCACCAACCCAACUCGUCCUUAUACUCUUAAUACAGUAGAUGAGCACCUCGACAUGCUAGUAAGAAGAACACAAAAAUAAAAUUUUAUCUUUUUUUUCCUAAUUCUUGUUUUUUAUCUCUUAUUCUUUCGGCCUCUUAAACUGGUCUGAGUUUCAUAUACAUGGUUUCUCAUCAUCUUGAUGAGAAUAUCCCAGAAAACAUAUCAUCUGUUGAAUCUCGGAUAAGGGCUGAGACAAUUGCUGCAGAAGACAUUUUGCGUGCAUGUCUGGGGGCCAUCAGUAUUAUUUCUUCUGAUUCGCAAGCUUGGGUCGUAUUGGAGAGGUUAUGCAACGAACUAAAGCUGAAGGAGAUACAGCUGCGAUGGAGAUAAUUGUUAUCGGGAAUUUAAGCUAGAAUGUUUGAGCUAAUGGGUUGUCAUGGUUGUUUGCAGUUCAGGUUAAGAAGUAGAGGGAAUGGUCAGUUGUGUGUAUGAUGCAGUUGGAAGGGCUUGAUUGAGUCUGAAAUCGGGUGACUGAGAUUAGCAUAAGAAGAAGCUUAUUGAUAAUGGAAUCUAGACUGUAUAUGAUGAUGUUGCAGUUGAGAUUGGUUGAUGUGUAUGGAUUCUUAGAAUGAAUGGGUUGCUUCUGAAAUAAGCUGCAGAGAUGAUGCUGCUGCCAAGCAAGUGAUAUUAAUUUCAGAUGCGGGUUCUGGGAUCAAAUCUAGAAUCUCAUUAGCUUUAACGGCUGGUACAACUAAAACAACAUUGAACAAUGGUCAGGUUGAAGAUGCUCCUGAUGCAAACACAGAUAAAAGUUCUGCAUCUACCACACUAAUCCUCCUAGGCAUGAUGUUAGUCGCUGGCUUAGGUGCUGUGAUGUUCUUGGGGGUCACAGCUGGUGCAUACAUUCUUACGCUCUUUGCUGAACUUCUUAUUGAUUUGAUUAACUUAUAAACGAGGAGAAAAUCUAAUGCCAUAAGUGCUCAAAUUUUUACGUGGCAGUGGAGCCUCAGCAAAUCCCACAUAAGUAACUACUCCUGUUUCUCGAUUUAAGUACCAGGAGCUGGGAGUACUACUUUACAUUGUGUACAUUGAUGUAUUCAAUGGAAAACACGGAUGAGGUCCAGUUUUUGUAAGAAACUUUUGAAGCUGUGGUACUUGAUUAUGUUCAUUGACACCAUCAUGCUGCAAGGGGAUUUCCUACAUCGAAUUUUCUGAUGACCAAGCUUUCAACAAAAGCAAGCAUGCAAAGGAUAUAAAGCUUAGCUGCAAGGGUGGAGAACAAAGCAGCUUCAAGAUUUGUAAGUUGCGGUUAUUCAACUUUUGUAGGCAGUUAGUAAGUUUCCGUGUUCCCUUAGAAGUUUGGACCUUCCAUGUAUUCCCUUAGAAAAUUUGAUACUUCACAAAAAACAAAAAGUUUGGUAGUUAGAGAAAUUUCAAAAAGUUUGGUACCUAGAGAAAUUUUAGUUCUUUUGUAAUUUAUAUAU